rnacentral:rRNA from 1 species
UACGGAGGAUCCAAGCGUUAUCCGGAUUCAUUGGGUUUAAAGGGUGCGUAGGCGGAAUGAUAAGUCAGUGGUGAAAGCCUGUUGCUUAACAACAGGACUGCCAUUGAUACUGUCAAUCUUGAGUACAUUUGAUGUGGGCGGAAUGUGUCAUGUAGCGGUGAAAUGCUUAGAUAUGACACAGAACACCGAUUGCGAAGGCAGCUCACAAAACUGUAACUGACGCUGAGGCACGAAAGCAAGGGGAUCAAACAGG